rnacentral:pre_miRNA from 1 species
UUAUAAAGCAAUGAGACUGAUUGUCAUAUGUUGUUGUGGGAUCCGUCUCAGUUACUUUAUAGCC